rnacentral:rRNA from 1 species
GAGUUUGAUCGUGGCUCAGAACGAACGCUGGCGGCAUGCCUAACACAUGCAAGUCGAACGAAGGCUUCGGCCUUAGUGGCGCACGGGUGCGUAAACGCGUGGGAAUCUGCCCUUUGCUUCGGAAUAACAGUGGGAAACUACUGCUAAUACCGGAUGAUGUCUUCGGACCAAAGAUUUAUCGGCAAGGGAUGAGCCCGCGUAGGAUUAGGUAGUUGGUGGGGUAAAGGCCUACCAAGCCGACGAUCCUUAGCUGGUCUGAGAGGAUGAUCAGCCACACUGGGACUGAGACACGGCCCAGACUCCUACGGGAGGGCAGCAGUCGGGGAAUAUUGGACAAUGGGGGGAACCCUGAUCCAGCAAUGCCGCGUGAGUGAU